rnacentral:rRNA from 1 species
AGAGUUUGAUCAUGGCUCAGAAUCAACGCUGGCGGCGCGCCUAACACAUGCAAGUCGAACGAGAAAGUGGAGCAAUCCAUGAGUAAAGUGGCGUACGGGUGAGUAACACGUGGAUCAUCUACCCUCUAGUGGGGAAUACCGCUGGGAAACCGGCGACAAUACCGCAUAAGCUCGAGAGAGGAAAGCAGCAAUGCGCUGGAGGAGGAGUCCGCGGUCGAUUAGUUAGUUGGCGGGGUAAAGGCCCACCAAGACUGUGAUCGAUAGCCGGCCUGAGAGGGCACACGGCCACACUGGCACUGAAACACGGGCCAGACUCCUACGGGAGGCAGCAGUGGGGAAUCUUGCACAAUGGGGGAAACCCUGAUGCAGCGACGCCGCGUGAGCGAUGAAGCCCCUCGGGGUGUAAAGCUCUUUCGGCAGGGAAGAUUAUGACGGUACCUGCAAAAGCAGCUGCGGCUAACUACGUGCCAGCAGCCGCGGUAAUACGUAGGCAGCAAGCGUUGUUCGGAGUUACUGGGCGUAAAGGGUGCGUAGGCGGCUUUUUAAGUUUGGUGUGAAAUCUCCUGGCUCAACUGGGAGGGUGCGCCGAAUACUGAGAGGCUAGAGUGUGGGAGAGGAAAGUGGAAUUCCUGGUGUAGCGGUGAAAUGCGUAGAUAUCAGGAGGAACACCGGUGGUGUAAACGGCUUUCUGGACCAUAACUGACGCUGAGGCACGAAAGCGUGGGUAGCAAACAGGAUUAGAUACCCUAGUAGUCC